UGAGGAAUAUUGGUCAAUGGACGAGAGUCUGAACCAGCCAAGUAGCGUGCAGGAUGACGGCCCUAUGGGUUGUAAACUGCUUUUAUAUGGGAAUAAAGUGAGGGACGUGUCCCUUAUUGCAUGUACCAUACGAAUAAGGACCGGCUAAUUCCGUGCCAGCAGCCGCGGUAAUACGGAAGGUCCAGGCGUUAUCCGGAUUUAUUGGGUUUAAAGGGAGCGUAGGCUGUUUGUUAAGCGUGUUGUGAAAUGUAGGAGCUCAACUUUUAGAUCGCAGCGCGAACUGGCAGACUUGAGUGCGCACAACGUAGGCGGAAUUCAUGGUGUAGCGGUGAAAUGCUUAGAUAUCAUGACGAACUCCGAUUGCGAAGGCAGCUUACGGGAGCGCAACUGACGCUAAAGCUCGAAGGUGCGGGUAUCGAACAGG
rnacentral:rRNA from 1 species